rnacentral:rRNA from 1 species
CCCGCUGAACUUAAGCAUAUCAAUAAGCGGAGGAAAAGAAACUAACAAGGAUUCCCUUAGUAACUGCGAGUGAAGAGGGAAGAGCUCAAAUUUAAAAUCUGGCAGUGUUUUGCUGUCCGAGUUGUAAUCUAGAGAAGUGCUGCCCGUGCUGGACCAUGUACAAGUCUCCUGGAAUGGAGCGUCAUAGAGGGUGAGAAUCCCGUCUUUGACAUGGACUACCAGUGCAUUUGUGGUGUGCUCUCAAAGAGUCGAGUUGUUUGGGAAUGCAGCUCUAAAUGGGUGGUAAACUCCAUCUAAAGCUAAAUAUUGGCGAGAGACCGAUAGCGAACAAGUACCGUGAGGGAAAGAUGAAAAGAACUUUGGAAAGAGAGUUAAACAGUAUGUGAAAUUGCUGAAAGGGAAACGCUUGAAGUCAGUCGCGUUGGCUGGAAAUCAACCUUGCUCUUGCUUGGUGUACUUUCUGGUUGACGGGUCAGCAUCAAUUUUGACCGCUGGAUAAAGUCUUUGGGAAUGUGGCAUCUUAGGAUGUGUUAUAGCCCAUUGUCGUAUACGGUGGUUGGGAUUGAGGAACUCAGCACGCCGCAAGGCCGGGUUUCGACCACGUUCGUGCUUAGGAUGCUGGCAUAAUGGCUUUAAUCGACCCGUCUUGAAACACGG